AUGUCGGCGAUGAUGGGGGCGCGGCUGGACCUGGCGCCCUUCCUCCUCUCCCCGUCGCCCUCGCCCUCGCGGCCGUCCCCCGCCCUCCGCCUCCGGACCUCGUCGCCGGCCGCGGCGGCGGCGAGGACCCGCUCGCUCGCCCCGAGGGCUGCCGCGGCGGCGACCGCCGUCUCCGCCAAGCCGGCGGCGGCCGCGCCGCUGUCCGCCGACCGCUCCGUCGUCCGUCUCGGCCUCCCCAGCAAGGGCCGCAUGGCCGAGCUAACCCUAAGCCUCCUCAAGAGUUGCCAGUUGUCGGUGAGGCAGAUCAACCCGCGGCAGUACACCGCCGACAUUCCGCAGGUUCCAAAUUUGGAGGUUUGGUUUCAGAGGCCCACGGAUAUUGUUCGUAAACUAUGUUCAGGGGAUCUUGAUCUUGGUAUUGUGGGUUAUGACAUAAUCAGUGAAUAUGCGCAGGGCAAUGAUGAUCUAGUUAUUAUUCAUGAUGCUCUCGAUUUCGGACAUUGUCGCUUGUCCCUUGCGGUGCCGAAGGAAGGUAUUUUCGAUAGCGUCAAUACUCUAGAGGAUUUGUUAAAUAUGCCUCAAUGGAGUGAAGAAAGACCAAUGCGGGUCGUUACAGGAUUUGGUUAUAUGGGUAUGGCUGACGCUAUUGUGGAUCUUGUGAGUAGUGGAACGACUUUGCGUGAGAAUAAUUUGAAGGAAAUUGAAGGUGGAGUAAUUUUGGAAAGCCAGGCAACACUUGUAGCAAGUAAGAAAUCUCUGAACAGACGUGAAGGUGUGUUAGAGAUUUCACAUGAGAUGCUUGAAAGAUUAGAGGCUCACCUCACAGCAUCUGGCAAGAUAAUGGUAACGGCAAAUAUGAGGGGCAAUAGUGCAGAAGAAGUGGCAGAGAGAGUUCUCAGCCAAACAUCAUUAUGUGGAUUACAGGGCCCAACUAUAAGUCCAGUGUAUUGCACACAGGAUGGCAAUGUUGCGGUGGACUACUAUGCUAUUAAUGUGGUAGUUCCCCAAAAAUCACUCUACAAGUCUAUUCAACAGCUGAGAUCUAUUGGCGGCAGCGGAGUCUUGGUGUCGAAACUGACCUACAUAUUUGACGAGGAGACUCCUAGGUGGCGCAAACUUCUGUCGGAGCUGGGAAUGUGA
rnacentral:rRNA from 1 species